rnacentral:rRNA from 1 species
AUGAACGCUGGCGGCGUGCCUAAUACAUGCAAGGCGAGCGAACAGACGAGGAGCUUGCUCCUCUGACGUUAGCGGCGGACGGGUGAGUAACACGUGGAUAACCUACCUAUAAGACUGGGAUAACUUCGGGAAACCGGAGCUAAUACCGGAUAAUAUAUUGAACCGCAUGGUUCUAUAGUGAAAGACGGUUUUGCUGUCACUUAUAGAUGGAUCCGCGCCGCAUUAGCUAGUUGGUAAGGUAACGGCUUACCAAGGCGACGAUGCGUAGCCGACCUGAGAGGGUGGUCGGCCACACUGGAACUGAGACACGGUCCAGACUCCUACGGGAGGCAGCAGUAGGGAAUCUUCCGCAAUGGGCGAAAGCCUGACGGAGCAACGCCGCGUGAGUGAUGAAGGUCUUCGGAUCGUAAAUCUCUGUUAUUAGGGAAGAACAAAUGUGUAAGUAACUAUGCACGUCUUGACGGUACCUAAUCAGAAAGCCACGGCUAACUACGUG